GGUGCUUGCACCUUUCAAGUGAGUGGCGAACGGGUGAGUAACACGUGGACAACCUGCCUCAAGGCUGGGGAUAACAUUUGGAAACAGAUGCUAAUACCGAAUAAAACUUAGUGUCGCAUGACACAAAGUUAAAAGGCGCUUCGGCGUCACCUAGAGAUGGAUCCGCGGUGCAUUAGUUAGUUGGUGGGGUAAAGGCCUACCAAGACAAUGAUGCAUAGCCGAGUUGAGAGACUGAUCGGCCACAUUGGGACUGAGACACGGCCCAAACUCCUACGGGAGGCUGCAGUAGGGAAUCUUCCACAAUGGGCGAAAGCCUGAUGGAGCAACGCCGCGUGUGUGAUGAAGGCUUUCGGGUCGUAAAGCACUGUUGUAUGGGAAGAACAGCUAGAAUAGGAAAUGAUUUUAGUUUGACGGUACCAUACCAGAAAGGGACGGCUAAAUACGUGCCAGCAGCCGCGGUAAUACGUAUGUCCCGAGCGUUAUCCGGAUUUAUUGGGCGUAAAGCGAGCGCAGACGGUUUAUUAAGUCUGAUGUGAAAGCCCGGAGCUCAACUCCGGAAUGGCAUUGGAAACUGGUUGACUUGAGUGCAGUAGAGGUAAGUGGAACUCCAUGUGUAGCGGUGGAAUGCGUAGAUAUAUGGAAGAACACCAGUGGCGAAGGCGGCUUACUGGACUGCAACUGACGUUGAGGCUCGA
rnacentral:rRNA from 1 species